UGUGUGUCUGACUGUGUGUGUGUUUGUGUCUGACUGUGUUUGUGAGUGUGUGUUUGUGUCUGACUGUGUUUGUGAGUGUGUGUGUGUGUGUGUGUGUGUCUGACUGUGUGUGUGUGUGUCUGACUGUGUGUGUGUCUGACUGUGUGUGUGUGUCUGACUGUGUUUGUGUCUGUGAAUGUGUCUGACUGUGUGUCUGUGUAUGUGUCUGACUGUGUGUGUGUGUG